UCCAUAUCGGAUGGAUAUCGGACGAACUUCUACAACAGACGGACUCCAGCAUCUGGAUUUCUACAACGGCCAAUCACCUUUGGUGUCUGUCGAACCUCUCCAAUGCCAACCGAGGUCCACCGCCGGCCGACCCUCCACCAGAUUCCUCAUGAAAUCAGACUUCUCCGACGGAUAAUCUUCAGACGAACUUUAACAUCGGGCAAAUCUCAGAUGGACUUCCCUAGCAACCGGACCCCUACUGGUCUUCACCAACAGAAAGUCUCCAUCCGAGCUCCUACAGCAGAUGACUUCCGCCUGUAGCAUCAACACCUAAGGUAUUCGAUAAUAGUUGACUCGUCAGCAGCCUCGAAAACAUCCAAGCUUCUCCUAGAUUGGCAGUAUAGAGAGCCAUCCCUCUCCAUCAGACAUCCC
rnacentral:lncRNA from 1 species